CUUCAUUUAAGGGCUGGCAGCUGCAAUGGAAGUUUCUUUGCUCAGAGAAUGCUUCCUUUGGGGUGUUUGGUGAGCCCUGAUCCUCAGAAGGAGGCUUCUGACAACCCCCAGGAACAAAAUGAAUGCCUGCUUGCCAGCUGAAGGGCAAGCAUCCAGAGAGGGAAAAGUGCUCCUUUUCAGCUCCUACAAGGAUAUUGCAAUCAAUAGAAGUAAAGAAAUGUAAUCCCAUUGCUUGUUACAGCUUUCUGAAGGAAGCAAGAGCUGUGGAGGCUGUGGAAAUCUGAAUGGUUGUCCAUAACGUGUGCCUUGCAAGGAGAAAUGCGAGAGAUUUGGAUGCAAAGACUUUAGGUUUCCCAUCUUUCUAAAGCAUUUUCUAUUGCAGAUUCUAAUGGGAACUGUACACAUGGCUCUACCCUAAUGACUGCCUGCUCUCAGUAGGAGUGGGAGGUCAGGUGAAGUCUCACCUGUGGCCAUUACCAAUGGCUUCAAGGAGAGCCUCAGUGUUAUAAAGCAGCGACUGCAGCCAAGAUGAUGGGGCUGUUGAUGACAGCUGAGAAAACAAGUUCAGAAUAAUUGAAACAGGAGUGGUUCUGGGUUGUCCUGUGUGAGGCUCCACAGAAAACAGCCUGUGGGGAAGGGAGAGAAGGAGGAGUUACAGGAGGUACAGAACCAUGUGGCUGGGAAUCUUUCCUAGCUCACAGAAAAGGGAACAAAGUAUUGCUGGGCUCGAAUGGUUUGAUCAGCAGUGCAGAGACUCCUUUGUUUUCCUCUUUGAUAUCUUUGAGGUGCUCUGAACGAAGGAUCCCCAUCACAGCACAGGAUGCGUAGCUGUAUGGAAGUGGGGUGGGGAUCAUCCAGCACCCUAUGCCCCUGGUGGCAGCUGGAUGGGGAAAGGAGAGGGCUGGGGAGCCCAGCAGCAGGGCUCUGGUGCCCUGGGUACUGCUUUGGCCAUUGUAACACCAGUUCCUAGCCCCUGGGGUUUCUUCAGUCUUUCAUAGAGCAAUGUUUUGUUAGCAGCAGCAAUGCAGGCAAUAAUCAUUCUGUAGCUGCUUCCAUCUUAUGUGAAGCUACAAUAGCUCUGACCUAAACUUAAAAUAAAUGUCACACUCCUCAGGACAGUGUGGGGAAAAUUGAUCCCUGUGAUGACAGCUGAACAAUCAUGGAGAUGCACUUUUGCUGGUUGGAAAUGUCAUCCUCUCUCUAUUUCAUGUACUCUUAGGGCAGUCCUGAACGUGCAGGCUGUUUCUUCCCUUUGCAGUGACCUCCUCAAACCCUCUUCCACCUCAUUGCUUUGCCUUAUUAAGAACUACACAGAGCCCUUUGCUACCCGGGAUUGUGCUCUCACCUCCUGCUGCGCAAUGCCUCCAACACCUCUCAGCUGUGUUAGGUGUUAAGCCUCUGGGCUCCCAUCUGCUCUUUGCUAAGCAGCCAUCCUGCAACAUUGCAAAGGAUUGUGAUGCUCUUCAUCAUCUGUAUCAUCCCCGGUUUUGUCUUCCCACGGCUGUGCUUUCAGUCAUCCUGCUGCCAAGAUGCAGCAGGGCUGCCAGCACAGGAAUGCCAGGAGAGAAGGCUUUGCUUUGCCUCUAAUCCAAGCAGAGGUGUGUGUCCCAGGGAGAGGAUGCUGAUACACACUACAAUGCCCUGCAGAGCAGCCCCAUUCACACUUUAGCAGAGAAGCAUUUUAAUUAAUUGUCAACAGUUUUUUAAUAUAUAGAUUUAGCAGCUCUGCCUGAGUAAAUGCUGUUUGAGAGAUUAAAU
ensembl:lncRNA